rnacentral:rRNA from 1 species
CCUACGGGUGGCAGCAGUGAGGAAUAUUGGUCAAUGGACGAGAGUCUGAACCAGCCAAGUAGCGUGAAGGAUGACUGCCCUAUGGGUUGUAAACUUCUUUUAUAUGGGAAUAAAACGUUCCACGUGUGGGAUUUUGUAUAUACCAUAUGAAUAAGGAUCGGCUAACUCCGUGCCAGCAGCCGCGGUAAUACGGAGGAUCCGAGCGUUAUCCGGAUUUAUUGGGUUUAAAGGGAGCGUAGGUGGAUUGUUAAGUCAGUUGUGAAAGUUUGCGGCUCAACCGUAAAAUUGCAGUUGAAACUGGCAGUCUUGAGUACAGUAGAGGUGGGCGGAAUUCGUGGUGUAGCGGUGAAAUGCUUAGAUAUCACGAAGAACUCCGAUUGCGAAGGCAGUUCACUGGACUGCAACUGACACUGAGGCUCGAAAGUGUGGGUAUCAAACAGGAUUAGAUACCCUAGUAGUC